GGGCCGAUAGCAUAGUUGGUAGAGCAUCCGUCUAGUAUAGAAAGGCCUAGGUUUGACUCCUAGCUAGUCCA